AGAAGGGCAAGGGGAACAACUCUUUUAACAGUUUGUGAAAAAAGCUACUGAAAGUCAUGUAUCUACGUCCUCAUCCCAGGAUCUUGACACCGCUCGACAGGAGGAAACCAUCUUGCUUCCUCAGUCCCUUCACAAGCCCAAGAUCCUCUUGAAGACCCUGAAGUGUCUAAUACCCAGGCUCCCCCAGUACCUCAAGCACCAAUAACAACAUUGGUAUCCAUGAACUUAGGCAACAGUCACAACCACAACUUAAGGCUGGGGCCAAUCCGCCAUGUCUCCUACAUUCUUUCAGCAUGCCUUGUGUCGCCUUAAGCAUGCCCCAGGUUGUUGCCAGAUAUCCAACGUUGCUUUCGACAUAAUCUGUGUUUUCUUCGGGUUAUCCUUCACUCUAGAUAAUCUCGUCUAUCCCGCUCCUAACCUUUUACAAGCAACCAUAAAUGAAGAAGAUUGAUGGUACCAUUGAUCCCACUAAUCAUCUCGAUACCUAUAGAGAUGUGAUGACUUUACAGGGCACUCUAGACGACCCUAUCCUUUGCAAAGCGCUUCCCCAAAUACUAUCUUAGUCAGGAAGGAAAUUCUAUAAUACCUUGGGGCCCAACUCAAUCACGUAUUUUGAUGACCUCGCCUUCAAAUUUGAGCCUCACUUUGCAACGGAAAAAUUUAUAAAGAAGAUUGUGAUCUCUUUCUUGCAGCUCUAGUAGUGGCGUUCUGAGUCUUUCCACGUUCAUUAUUCCAUUCAGCGUAGCGAGGUUCCACAUCCUCGAUCUCCACAUCACUACAACAGUGUCCCUCCAGGUCCAUGUGGUAUUUGUCAAACAAUCUCCCGAGCU
rnacentral:lncRNA from 1 species